AACGAACGCUGGCGGUAUGCUUAACACAUGCAAGUCGAACGAACAAAAUUGGGGCUUGCUCCAAUUUUAGUGAGUGGCAAACGGGUGAGCAACACGUGAGAAUCUACCCUUUAGUGAAGAAUACCCUCGAGAAAUCGAGGCUAAUACUGCAUACGUCCCUUCGGGGAGAAAGAUGGCUUUAUGCUGUCGCUAAAGGAUGAGCUUGCGGACUAUUAGCUAGUUGGUAGGGUAAUGGCUACCAAGGCGAUGAUGGUUAGCCGGCCUGAGAGGGUGAACGGCCACAUUGGAACUGAGAUACGGUCCAGACUCCUACGGGAGGCAGCAGUGGGGAAUAUUGCGCAAUGGGCGAAAGCCUGACGCAGCGACGCCGCGUGGAGGAUGAAGGUCUUCGGAUUGUAAACUUCUGUUAAGUGGGAAGAAAGUCUAUUUUAAAUAGAGAUAGAAAAUGACGGUACCACUAGAGAAAGCACUGGCU
rnacentral:rRNA from 1 species